GCCUGAGUCAAGGCAAGGACAGUCUUUCCGCCGUUGCUAUGGAGUUCCACUGUGGAGCAUGGAAGACAGGAGCAGCAUCCCACCGUGAGGUUAAAAAUUUGACCUGAGUAUUGGAGUUAGGAGCAUUGGCCUAUCAUGAGGGUUGACAACUGAGUGCUAGAGAAUGGGACCUGAAGUGCGAGAGUUUGAGAGCUGGCAACCCAAGCUCAUCCUGGGAGGCUCUGUCCCCAGAGGAUGAUCAGCUGUAGCAGGGGCAGAAUUUGAAGUCCAGGAACCUGGGGCCGCCAUGAAUUUGGAUGCAGAAAACCUUGGCAUUUGAUCUAACUCGGAAACAUGCUCAACUUGCUGAGCCAAGAAAUGUAUUUGGCAACUUUUUUUCUAGGACAGGCACAUUUAUGAGCCAAGCUGCCCAAGAAGAUCUUUUUUACAUUUUAAUAUUUAACUUUGGCAGGGCUGAGUUCUUAAAGCUAAAAGCUGUGAAUUCCAGUUUGUCCUAGAAUGUUCCCAUGCAGUUGUAAACUAAUAGUUGUAAUAAAGGGUUGUCUUUGGUAUUGGUUCUUAAAAA